rnacentral:rRNA from 1 species
UUGGAGGGCAAGUCUGGUGCCAGCAGCCGCGGUAAUUCCAGCUCCAAUAGCGUAUAUUAAAGUUGUUGCAGUUAAAAAGCUCGUAGUUGAAUUUCGGGGUUCUACCGUUGGUCGGGCUAACCAGUCUGUACUAGCGUGUAGAAUUCUUACCUUCUGGGGAACCAUCAUGUUAUUAAUUUAGCGUGGUGGGAAACCAGGACCUUUACCUUGAAAAAAUUAGAGUGUUCAAAGCAGGCUUACGUCUGAAUACAUUAGCAUGGAAUAAUAAAAUAGGACGGUGGUCCUGUUUUGUUGGUUUCUGAAUCACCGUAAUGAUUAAUAGGGAUAGUUGGGGGCAUUAGUAUUCAAUUGUCAGAGGUGAAAUUCUUGGAUUUAUUGAAGACUAACUACUGCGAAAGCAUUUGCCAAGGAUGUUUUCAUUAAUCAAGAACGAAAGUUAGGGGAUCGAAGACGAUCAGAUACCGUCGUAGUCUUAACCAUAAACUAUGCCGACUAGGGAUCGGAUGAUGUUAAUUUUUAAUGACUCAUUCGGCGCCUUACGGGAACAGUCGACUGCC